GCCGUGAUAGUGUAGCGGUAUCACAGUGCCUUGUGGAACGACACGGCACUAACCUGGGUUCGACUCCCAGUCGCGGCA